rnacentral:rRNA from 1 species
CAACUUUCAGCAAUGGAUCUCUUGGCUCUCGCAUCGAUGAAGAACGCAGCGAAUAGCGAUAUGUAAUGUGAAUUGCAGAUCUACAGUGAAUCAUCGAAUCUUUGAAACGCACCUUGCGCUCCUCGGUGUUCCGAGGAGCAUGCCUGUUUGAGCGUCAGUA